GAUGACAAAUAUUACGAAAAAGCGUGAAAUCCGAAAAAUUAAAAAGAAAACAAUAAAGGGACGAAGAAAUUCUUGUACGAGAUGAAAACAAAUAAGCAAAGCGAUCUAGUUACAAGAAUGCUCGUGGCUUAGAAACGGAUUAGUAGUCAAUCAAUAUUGUUUGUGAAAAGAAGGAUGCUCACAAGCCGAUAAAGCCGUUUCUACAAUCAAAACAAAUAAGCAAAGCUUGAAAAGAUAACAAAUGAGAUUAUUAGAGCAGCAGGAAGAUGGAAGAAGAACAGGUAAACCGGCUUAGCUUUUUCGAUGAACAAGAUAAACGACCAAAAAAUAUAGUUGUUUCGAUAAUUUUCGGUCGUAAAAACUCUUGUUUGAGAAAUUCUAGUAUAAACAGGUCUCCUGUUUCUUUUAUUGAGCAACAGAAAGUCAAACGACUUUGAGAUUUUCCCGCAAUUUGUUUCCUGUCUAACAACCACUGCAAAUCUAUGCUACGUCCCCUAAGGCAUUCAAUAUCUCUUCAAUUCUUUCCUUUCAAUUAAAUUAUUACAAAAAAAGGAAAUGAAGCCAGAAACUGUAAAGGAAGGAUUCCCUAACCCAAAUGCACUGGCUUUGUUGUUGUACGGAAUGGUUAAAGCAGCAGUGGAGAUGUCAUGGAUGAAUGCACCAUGCUAAAGCAUUCAUUACGUUUAGUAUCGAUUUAUAUAGAGAUAAGACUUCAAAAUAGCCUACCAGUUACUAUUUUCUUAAACUUUUAUUUUUUUAAUCUAUUUCAUGUAUUUAUCGACUUGUAUUUUCCUUUCCCACACACCCUUUUAAAAGAUCACGACUGCUAUAUACCGAGGCGCAAGCAUGCUCCUUUAUGGUUAUGAGAAAAACAUGGUAUCUAAAAAUGGAUUUAGUAUGCAGCAAACGACUCAAUUGAAAUUGUAUACUUAAAUCUUUUAAAUAUAUGCGUAUUCAAAAAUACAAUGAAUAAAUCACCAUCACAGUUUCCUCAUAAAUGAACAAAUACGCGUGUGUUUUUACAUUAUUCAUACAUCUGAAUUAUCGUGCCAAGUCAAAACUUUUUAAAUUAACGAAAUAUUAAAGUUACUCUAGAGUUUUGUUUUAAGUAUUUUUCAUGUCUCUUAAGCUUAUGAAAUUUAUUUCGAUGGAACAAUCAAUUAAUUUUCUUAACGACUAAAAUUAGUCAUCGACCAUGACGGUACUCUUAAUUCAUUGAUUGUUUUUUUGUUUUUUUAGUCACAAUUUAAAAAAAAACAAAAACUGGUUUCUGUCUCUGAUGUGGAGUAGAGAAAUGGUCUUUUUUACUACAUUUAUU